UACGUAGGGUGCAAGCGUUAAUCGGAAUUACUGGGCGUAAAGCGUGCGCAGGCGGUGAUGUAAGACAGAUGUGAAAUCCCCGGGCUCAACCUGGGACCUGCAUUUGUGACUGCAUCGCUAGAGUACGGCAGAGGGGAUGGAAUUCCACGUGUAGCAGUGAAAUGCGUAGAGAUGUGGAGGAACACCGAUGGCGAAGGCAGCCCCCUGGGCUAACACUGACGCUCAUGCACGAAAGCGUGGGGAGCAACAGG
rnacentral:rRNA from 1 species